rnacentral:rRNA from 1 species
GCACGCAGGCGGUUUGUUAAGUCAGAUGUGAAAUCCCCGGGCUCAACCUGGGAACUGCAUCUGAUACUGGCAAGCUUGAGUCUCGUAGAGGGGGGUAGAAUUCCAGGUGUAGCGGUGAAAUGCGUAGAGAUCUGGAGGAAUACCGGUGGCGAAGGCCGCCCCCUGGACGAAGACUGACGCUCAGGUGCGAAAGCGUG